GUCGACUCGAAAACCCAGGAAUUCCAUUUGUUGUGAAGGUUGGAGAACCGAUUUCUCCCAGUUCACCAGGAAACCGAGAUUCUGCAGGAGAUGUAACGUCCAUGACAAAUGGAUUGUCAGUUGACCCCGUGUCUGUGAAAGUAUGAGGAUGUCAUCCAGAUAUAUAAUGAGCCAAAUUCCGUGCAGCCUGAGGAAGGCAACCACUGGCUUCAGU